rnacentral:pre_miRNA from 1 species
ACAACAUUCGGACCGUCGGUCUACCGAGCAAUAUCACCCGCUCGGUGGAAGAUCUUCCCUUUGCAGU